UCAUUGACUUCUAGGAUGGUAACUGUACAUAUCAUGGCUAUCUAUCAACACAGAACAUAUAUGAUGCCUCCUGUUCCAGAUGUUGAAACAAACUGGGGAAAAUGCUGAAGAAAAUACAAUAGGACAGAACAUCUGAGAAAUGCUGCAAAAUUUAAUUGUUUGAAAGCUGUCUGCCAAGGCAAGGUUUUUCGAAACUCUUGAAAGUCUAUUAUCAUAAUUCAGAAGAAAGGAGAAAAAAAGAAAAAGAUUUUGAAGCCUCAUUGGACAUGGGAAUUGCUGAUGAACUGGAGAUGGAAUGAAGAUAAUGUGACCUUUGUUGUCAUUAAUGUACCAACUGUAGCAAAGAUGCAGCAUGUGGUUUUGAAAUAAAUUCAGUUAUGCUACAUUUUCA
rnacentral:lncRNA from 1 species